GACAGAGGGUGCAAACGUUGCUCGGAAUUACUGGGCGUAAAGCGUGCGCAGGCGGUGAUGUAAGACAGAUGUGAAAUCCCCGGGCUUAACCUGGGAACUGCAUUUGUGACUGCAUCGCUGGAGUGCGGCAGAGGGGGAUGGAAUUCCGCGUGUAGCAGUGAAAUGCGUAGAUAUGCGGAGGAACACCGAUGGCGAAGGCAAUCCCCUGGGCCUGCACUGACGCUCAUGCACGAAAGCGUGGGGAGCAAACAGG
rnacentral:rRNA from 1 species